UUGAAAGGGAAACGAUUGAAGUCAGUCCUGCUGGCGCGAAAUCUACCUUCUCGUCUUGAGAUCACAUGGCGUGGCGAGCCUCAAAACCGUCACGAAGCGUGAACUCUUGGUGAAAUGGAGCACUUUCGUGUCCGCUGGUUAACAUCAAUUUCGAACGUCAUAAAAAGGCUGGAGGGAUGUGGCUCCUUCGGGAGUGUUAUAACCUUUAGCGGAAUGUGGUGUUCGGGAUUGAGGAUUGCAACGAAUACCUUUAGGGCCUUCCUGUCUGCUUCUCUUUGGUAUCUCGGUGACGACAAGUUUGCGUCGUUGUUAGGAUUCCGCUGGGCACUGGCUAGGAGUCUGAGCAAAUUCGUUAAGGAUGUUGACGUA
rnacentral:rRNA from 1 species